UAUAUAUAUAUAUAUAUAUAUAUAUAUAUAUAUAUAUAUAUAUAUAUGUAUAGUUACGAAAGUAUAUAAACUUAUCGCGAAGAUUAUACACUCUCAUUACACACACGUACACGCACACAUAUACAUACACUGUUGAGAGAUCAUCAUUUGAUCGACCCGACUCGAGACACAUCUCUCAUAUCACAAUCUUCGUUUUCCCUAGUUCAAUGUCAUUCUCACAAAGUAGCGCGCGAAGGUCGCGUCUAAUGAAGAAAAAAAUAACUAGGAAAUUUUACGCACGUCGAGAGAGACGUAACGAGGCGACGUUACACGACCCACGACGGCAUAGAACAUUCGCUACAAAAUAAUUAAGAGAGAAAGAGAGUGAGUGAGCGAGAAAGAGAGAUAUAGAGAAGGUUGUACAAAAAUUGUAUGUAAUGUUAUUUUAUCGGAAGUGAGAAUCUUAGUGUUAGGCUGUUAAUAUGGUAUAUUAUUUUGGGUAAGCGUAUGUAAAAAGAAAAAAAAACAGAUAAGACAAAAGACGAAGUCGCGCGCUCGGACGAGAUCGUUGUUGUUGAGGUAGAAAUAGCACAUUAGCAGCUCGGGGAUUAUAAAGGAAAUUAAGUAAACUAAUAUAGAGAGACAGAGGUUGGGAGAAAAAGAGGAGAGUAAGAGAAAACUAUUGAGUACCUUGUUGAGUAUAAGUAGUCGUAUUGCUAAGUCGUAAGUGCACGUGGGUGCGCGUGUGCUCUCAUCCAUACACAUUCACAUAUACAUAUUCACGACUCGCUCACACACAUAUACAUACACACGGAAAAUAUCGGACACACAACAAAAAACGAGAGAAACGACACGAUAUACAAUCACACGUACACAUUAUAUAAUGUCAAAAUUACAUGCCUACACGCGCGAAUAGAGAGGUUUCGCAAAGAAAGAGAAAGAGAGAGAGCGAGAGAGAGAAAGAGAGUGAGUGAGAGAGAGAGAGAGAGAAAGAACGCGCGUUUGCGUCUCACUUUCGAUGUUAAGUCUUUACGAGCAUCUCAAUUCCGGCGAAUUAUUAGAUCGAGAAUAGCGUUAUCUUCCAUGAUAAUAUAUAAUCGAGAAAUAAGAGAGAGAGAGUGAAAGAGAAAGAAAGAGAGCAGCUGGCUGCGAAGGUACCAUAGAGAGAUUUAUUCGUCGCACCGAUGAUAAAUCACGAUCAAGUAUUGUACCUUACAUUCCUUCGGCUAUAAAGUAAUUUAAGGAAUACAUACACAAAAAUACACACACACACAUAUACAUACACGUAUAUCAUGCGUUUUAUCCAGUUUCUAGCGAAUUAUGCUGCGUACGAUCGAUUAGACGAAAGAUUCAUCGUUAUUAUUUUAUGCUAGGAUUGUUGUGUACACGUUAUUAGAUGUUCGGUUUUUCCUUGCCGACAUACAUAUGCACGCAAAAAUACAUCACAUUCACAUACAUAUACACACACACACACACACAUACAUACGAAAACGCGAACGGUGCAUUACGAGCAAUGAGGCAAAAUUGCGUAUUUUUUAAUAUUCUGAGAUGUCUCGUCUCCGUGUGAGAAAGAGAGAGAGAGAGAGAGUGAGAGUGAGAGUGAUAAAAAGAAAAGGGAAGAGAGAGGAAAAAAGGGUAUUGCGAUUCAACUUCGUAUUAGACGGAGAGAGCUAAGAUUAUCGAUAUUUACGCUAAGUUAGUAGUAAAAAGAAAAAAAGUAGUCGUUACUCUUCAGAAGUACGGAUACACUUUUAGACGAGUAAGGAACCGAGAAACCAGGGAAAAAUAUUGUAAUCGGCUGUCGUCGAGAUAAUAAUCGAAGCGACGCGAUUGCAUCCGUGGUAUCGUCGAUUUCGUCUCAUUAAACCGAUCGUUACAUCAGAAAUAUUGCAUCGCGAAUUAAUAAAUAAAUAUAUAUAUAUAUUUUUUUUUAUUAGGAAAUAUCAUUAAAAAAUGUUCAGUUACGUCAUCAUGUGUAAAGAAUGGCGAAAUUCCGAAACGUCAGAGCAAAUUUGCCGAAAUCGCUUUCGAAACGCGAAACGCCUCGUCGCCCUCGUGAGAAUUCCUCGUCUUCGUGUCUGUGUUAGGAAAUAUACGGUGAAGCAUCUCUCUCUUUCCAUUCAACGAGAGAUGUCAAUUGUACAUACAAUCGUCUAUCGUAACACACGAAUCGUGUCUUACAUCGCACAAUCUCCGUUCAAAUAUAAUCUAUCAGGCUGUCUAGUCUCGUCUUCGUUUUCUGCCCGAAGUUUCUAUGUCGAGGAUCUUCGGGCUGUCGCUCAACGUGAAAAUCGUCACGAUUGAUUUUGAAAGCGACCGGAUAUCCAGUCGCAGAUCCGAAAUCGCGAAUCACUUGCUCUAUUCGUAUCGGAUAAUUGGCUCGUUCGCCACGAUCGACGACACCACGGAUGUCCGCGUGAGAGAAAUAUCUCGUAGAGAUAUGUUCGCCGUUUCUUAAAGCGGAAAUCCUUGUAAGGAAUUUAUGAUGACGAGGAAACGAGACAAUUUGUCAGUAACAUAGAUGGAAAGAAACGCGACGUCGAGGUACGCAUAUUCAUACGCAGGCUCGUAAGGCUUAUGGAGAGAAACAAAAAAAAUUCUCUAUUUAUUGAUUAACGCAGAGCGUUACACAACACUUGGUUUUACUUUCGCUCGUCGAUGAAGUUAACAAGUAAUACCUACAUCCCGACGUGACCUCUUUGGGCACACCGCUAUAUCUCUCUGGUUUUUUUUUUUCAUUUUUUUCCCCGUCACCGAGAUGAGGUAUAAUUUAGUUCACGGCAUCUCUUUUUCCCGCGCGAAGAGCUAAUCUUUACGAUAUAUUACUUUACACUCUAACCACAUUUAUUUGCAUCCAUAAAUUGUUAUUCUUUCAUCAUCAAUUUAUUCCAUUCAAUGUUAAAUAAUUAUAUAAAAGUUUAAACAAACAAAAAAAAAAGAGAGAGGAGAGAGAAAAAUGAGAAAACAUAAUAUAUUAACUAUUUUCACUCAUGAGAAAGCAUCGUUACCUGUAUGACAAGUGACCAUAAUAAGAGCAUAAUAAACAAUCGCUCAUUAAAUGCAUUCUGUUGUUCUUCAUUUCAUGACCUGGCCACCGUCCAUACAUCCAUCCAUCCAUUUGUCCAUUCAGUGUCGCAAGUAUGAUCAUCAUACGCCAUCGUCUGUCAUUUGCCAGUCUCUCGUACCCGUUGAAUCUCUCGUGUCUGAAUCUGUGAACACAGUAUCCGCGAUUUUCUUCAUCAAGAAACAAAAAUAAUCCGAAAAAGUUGUCGGAACGCAAUUGUAAUUUUUGUGGAAAUUGGGAAGGUGUGACGCGCGCGCGCGAUUGGAAGACGACGAUGGCAAAGGGAAGACCGUGAGAGGAAAACCUUCCAAAUUUCGACAAAAAGUCACGACGAAGGUGCAGCAAUGGGCACGACUGGAAAAUCGUAACAUUUAUGAGGGAGAAUAAAAAGUCACGACACUCGUAUAAAUCUCCCUAAUUACCUCCUAGUGAUCAUCAACGGCGGUCCGACCGAUCCUCUGUCUCUCUCGUUUUUUUAUCUUACGAUAAAAAAAGCGAGAAACGGAAAAUCGAUUGAACCACAAGCAACCACCCUUUUUUUAAUCGCAGUUAAUUAAUCGACUAACUAAACUAAUCUUCGAUAGGUAUAUCCCUCGUUAUUCCGGCAUCUUCGUUGAAGCGAAAGACACGAUGGUUCCUCGCGGCACUUCUAUGCGUUCUCCGGAGAUUGUAUUGUCGAUGCUCACAACCGUGCCGUUUGCAAAACAGGUCAAUUUUUGUAAGCUACACGUAUGCGGUUUCGGAGGCAGAUCUCGCGUGCCAGAUUGCUCGGUAUCAGUAUUUCGCGCGGCAAAGUCGAGUACAAACGCGGUUAUCAUUGCGCCACCGAUCCUCCCGGCGAAAAGUCGACGAUAUUAUUAAUCACGGCAGGCAUAUCACAUCGCGUUCCGCGUAUCACGGCACUUAUAUUAAUCUCGACUUCUUACGGACACAAACAUUUAUAUAUAAAUAUAUAUUCCUUGUAUAUAUAUGUACAUGUACCUUAUUAGGGAUAGCGCGUCGUAAUUACGAUUUCAUCACGUCUUCUCUUCUUGUCUUUUUUCCCUUCUUGUUAUUUUUGUUUUUUAUUCUUUAAUUUUUACAUUCCUCCGAGUGUAUAAUCUCGAGCGUACGGCGAGAUGCCACUCCAACUAGUCAGUAAACGAAGAAUUGUAUUUUUUACGCGACGAAUUAUUUGUAAUAAAAGAAAGAAUUAUAUUGAUAAAGAUGAAACAGCGAAGAGAGAGAGAGAGAGAGAGAAAGUAUGAGAGCGAGAGAGAAAGAGAGAGAGAGAAAGAAAGCGUCAAGUAGACACGUUCUAUUUUGGAUGAAUUUAUCAUUGAGCUUUUGAUAAAAGAAAACGAAAUGUAAUGUACUGCAGAAGUAACAAAUAAAAAGCUAUUUUUGUACGAAUAAUUGGAGUAGCCUCGACAGUUUAUUCCGUACUUCUGCGCUUAUACAUAUAACAUACCCGAUCGAUUCAUGGCAAAAUCGCGAAUGCGUAUUCACAUCCACUAGCCUCGCGAAUUAAUUGAUCGCAUAGUGCACCGCUUCGAAAGGACUUGAAAGUGAGACAGGAAAACAAAGCGCUCGGUGAAAUCAUGACUUUCCUUCUAUACCAAUUGAGAUCUCCACGAGGCUCUUCGCCAGAAAUCAUCACUCUUCGUCCUCGAUAAGAUUAGCUAUCUAAUUAGAAAUGCAUGUCUAUAAAAUUAUCUCGUUCAACGCGACGAACGAGAUAUCGUGCCGAGAAGAAGCAAAGCGUUGGAACGUUCGAAUGAAUUUCCUAGAUUUCAAAAUAAUUCAGCGAAGAGAGACAUGAAGUUCGCGAAGGGAAAACUCGUGAAUCUCGUGCACGAUAAAACUGCGUACAUCCGGAUAAUACGCACAAAGAGAAGAGAAAUGUUCACAAUAAUCGUGAGCAUUUGUAUUUUGCAGAUCUCGUUACAGUGGGGAUUCGCUGGCAAUAAAAAAGUAUACCACUACAGACGAAACGCAGUUUUAUUCGGGUGACAAUAAGUGUAUGUGUGUGCACGCGUAAGUGUGUAUGUGUGUGGAUGUGAAUGCACAUCGCUUGGCUGAAUGCACCUCCCGUGCUGUUUGUUUGAUCUUUCAUCGCGCAACUACAAAGUAAUAUACAUACACUAUGACACAGAUUCCUUUUAUUCCCUAAAAGCGAUGCGAAAAUGCAAUGACCGUUUUCGCUCGCAAAAUAUUUAUGCGCCCCAUAUUGUUCCGAACUGACAUGUGUGCGUGUAUGUCACUAUUAUUAUUAUUUUAUCGUUAUUAUUAUUAUUGUACACUCUUAUUUGCUCAUACCUAACGACCUCAGGCAUUCUCUUACAAACAUUACGCCUUUGCAAAAAUCUACCUUCCCAGAUAGCCAAACCUAUGCAAAGAGAUUUUGAGCAGAGCCCUGCAAGUUUUUCAUGGCAGGAACGCAACAAAUUCAACACAUUUAUUAUAUCUGAUUAUGUUCCCAGUGAGAAAUGACUUACCGAUAGACGUCGAAAAAACGUCAAAUCGACGUCGAAAUCGUCAAAUCGACGUCUUUUCGACGUCUAUGAUAAGUCAUUUCUCAUUGAGUUGCCAAACUGCCGCCAGAAAUGCGACAGAGCCUACUGAUAGGCAAUCCGAACAGAUUGACGGUAGAAGCCGAGCAGAACCUGUAACGAUCUGACGGAAAAUUGGCAGCUGAAAUUGAGCAGAUCCUGCUAUGCGACAAGAUCUGCGCGAUUUCGGCCGCCAAUCUGUUCGCAUUGCCUGUCAGCAAACUCCGACGACAAAAUACUGAAUGCGGAUAUAGAUGACUGUGAUUUCAGGAUUCUGAUUAAAUUUGCUGCUGAUCUGCGCGCACUCUGCUACCAAUUUGCUUACUAGGUUUAGGACCAUCGCGGCGGAAGAGAAAAUUACACUUAUUGCCAUUACCUCGUUGGACUAUACAGCUGCACUACUAACUGCAUAUGCAAUCAGUUCAUGAAAGCGACGUCAAAAGGCGAGCUUACAUUCGGAUCAUAUCGAACGACUGCAUCAGGACACAUCGAGGAAAUGCGUAAGUGGCAUGAAAAAGGUGAAAAUGGAGCCGACUCGUGUGAUAAACGUAGAUAAACGUUCAUUUUCACUCUCUUUCGCGAAAUAUGAGUGACGCUCACAUAUACAAGAUUUUCGCACGAAAGCUACACAAGAAUAGACACUUUCGGGAACGCAACCAUACGGAAUAUUAAGGGCGACGAUUUCCUCAUUUUGACUAUCUCCCGCCGAAAAAUGUGAUUAGAAAUUUAUUCACUAAUAUUCGCGGUUUGAUUACAAUUAGGAGCCAUACAAUAGAAAUACUUAGUGUCCCUUAUUUAAGUUUGCAAUAAAAAUUCUCACUCGAAGGACGAUUAACAUAGCUUUUAGGUUACAAGCAACCAGAAGCAAUGAUAAAACAAAGGCAAACUAAGCUUCAGGAAUGAAUACGAACGACGAAGAUUCGUUCUUCGUUUAAUUCGGCAAAUCGAUUCUACCUCAACGGUAUUGUGACUCAAAUAUUAGUUAUGUAGAUGUCUGAUAUCAAACAUCCAAAAAUUACUAUAAAUAUUAAAGCACUUCUAUGAGGACUUUUUAAAUAUAAAUUAGAAACCUGCCUGCAAUAUUUUACACGCUAAUUGUCCCGUACUAUAAGAACUACCGCUAACUACGAUAACACAGCUCGUUCUCGACGAAAUCAACUUUCCGCUUUCACAAUCGAUCAUUUCGUCGUUUCUCCUUUUUUACACAUUCCUGUAUGCGAAAAUACGGAACGGAGACUCGACGUAGGGACCGCGAGAUCCUGCAUGUCAGUCCUGAAGCAUUCGCUUAAUUGGCGAAUACUUGAAACUCCUCUGUUCUGUUUCACAAUAAUAAGCGCGAACGAAAUACAAAAUGGCGGAGAUGCUACUUCGCUCGCACUUCUCUCCAUAAAUCAAAUCGCAUAUGUGUACGCGGUCAUACAAAACGGAAGCGGAUACGCACAAAUGCAGUUUCGAUUUGACCACACGCCUGUCUUGAUGUAAGUGGAGCGGAGUUUUAUAGGGGAAGUAUGGUUCGUACAAAGAUUAUAUACAUUAUUAUCUAAUCACUCAAUUGAUUAAUAUACGUCUGUCUAUGCCUUUGUGUGUGUAUGUAUGUGUAUGCAUGUGUAUGUGAUGUGUAUGAGUGUAUGUAUACGCGGAAUAUGUGUUUUUGCUUGUCCCUGGUACUACAUGUAGGACGUAGAUUUUAAGUAUGUAUUGCGAUGAAUCUAUAUAUAUAUAUUUAUAUAUAUAUAUAUAUAUAUAUAUAUUUACUCCUCUUUUUUAAUCUUUCGUUAGAAAGCGCACAAAGAAGUGUAUUACCUUCGUUAUUACGAUACUAUAUCUCCUAUAGAAAAAUAAUUGCGAAGGCUGGAGGCUACAUGGAAGAAGUAUUCGUCGAAGUCUCAGUAUAAGAAGGCAGUUACAACGUGCGCGAUACAUGGAGAAAAUCAUCGGUGUUGUAUCGACGUGGGAUUCCGACGCGAAUGUGACGUGACGUGUUUCGUGAGUGCCGGAAGAGGAAGGACAACGCGACAAUAAGGAAGAAUGCCAAUGAAGUCCGAUUAUGUCAGUGUUCAAUCGAUCGUGUUUUUCGGUAUCAUAUACCGGAGUCUCGAACUUGUAAUGAGAAAAAACGGCACGCCUAUUACGUACGUUAACGUACAAAUUCUUCAGAGUACACAAAGGCGACUAUGCAAUAAUACAGCUUUACAAUGAGCGAUUCUAUAAAAAAGAUUCGUGAAAAAUAUCGGCAUCUCUGUUUCAUUGUCGUGCUCUCGGAACCGGAGAGAGAGAGAUAGGUUCUGUUAUGUUGCGAGAGCGUAUAAUUGUGUACUUUGAUUCUGUUGGCGUCCACGGCGGCGUCUCCGUGCAUCGUUUGAUUUGCACGACCAUACAUACGCGAUUGUACUAUGUGUAAUAAACGGCAUUUCAAUGGCACACUUUUCGAUCCUCGCGGUCGCAAGCGCGCGAGAUCGCCGACGACCGCGGUUCUUUA